AUUUAUAUAGUAUAAAAAGUAUAUUUGACUUCCAAUCAAAAGGCCUAAUUUUUAGUAUAAAUA
rnacentral:tRNA from 3 species